CUUUUUCACAGGGAGCUGCUAACAGGAUCCCCUGACAAUCCAAAAUCCCCAGCUUGCGUGAAUGAACUAACAGACACAUCAGUUUGCUAGAACAGCUGAAGAGGGAAAUGGUGAUGUCUGGAAGGACUGAACCUAUGUAUUCUAAUAGUUACUCAGUAGUGUCCCCAGACACGAGCAAAGAAAUUGGCAUGGGGAGAAACGGGAAGAAGAAUGCAAAGCUGUUUCCUAAGGAAAAAAGAAAUGACAAUUCCAAUCAGUAGUAAACACACAAACAAACAAAAUCCCUCACUGUUUCCUUAGCUUAGUGCCAAUCGUCAUUGAAAAAUAAAAUUAUGGGCUGCCCUUUGUAUUAGGUUGGUGCUAGCACAGCUUUGGUAAUAUAAGGAACUCUAAUAGAGCCAGGGCUGAAAUAUGUUCCAAACAUCUGCGUCAGGCUUGGCAGCCUGUUCCCAGUGUAACUGAUCAUGGAAGAGGGUGAGAGGUGAAGCCAACUGGACUUCCGGGGUCGAGUGGGGACUUAGAGAACUUUUCUUUUCUUUCUUUUUUUUUUUUUUUUUUUUGAGACGGAGUCUCGCUCUGUCGCCCAGGCUGGAGUGCAGUGGCACGAUAUCAGCUCACUGCAAGCUCUGCUUCCCGGGUUCACGCCAUUCUCCUGCCUCAGCCUCCCCAGUAGCUGGGACUACAGGCGCCCGCCACCAUGCCAGGCUAAUUUUUUUGUAUUUUUAGUAGAGACGGGGGUUUCACUGUGUUAGUCAGGAUGGUCUUUAUCUCCUGACCUCGUGAUCCGCCCGCCUCAGCCUCCCAAAGUGCUGGGAUUACAGGUGUGAGUCACCGCGCCCAGAGGACUUAGACACCUUUUCUACAAGAGGUUUGUAAAAUGCACCAAUCAGUGCUCUGUAAAAAUGCACCAAUCAGCGCUCUGUAGCUAGCUAGAGGUUUGUAAAAUGGACCAAUGAACAGGACAUGGGUGGGGACAAACAAGGGAAUAAAAACUGGCCCCCUAAUCUCUGCUCAGGUCCCCUUCCAGGCUGUGGAAGCUUUGUUCUUUCCCUCCUCACAAUAAAUCUUGCUGGUGCUCACUCUUUGCGGUGGUGCCAUCUUUUUUUUUUCUUUCUUUCUUUCUUUCUUUUUUUUUUUUUUUUGAGACAGUGUCUCCUUCUGUUGCCCAGGCUGGAGUGCAUUGGCACGAUCUCGGCUUAUUGCAAGCUCUGCCUCGCGGGUUCAUGCCACUUUCCUGGCUCAGCCUCCCAAGUAGCUGGGACUACAGGUGCCAGCCACCAUGCCUGGCUAAUUUUUUGUAUUUUUAGUGGAGACGGGGUUUCACCAUGUUAGCCAGGAUGGUCUCGAUUUCCUGACCUCGUGAUUCACCUGCCUCCGCCUCCCAAAGUGCUGGGAUUGCAGGCCUGAGCCACCGCGCCCGGCCUGGGUCGGUGCCAUCUUUAAGAGCUGUAACUCUCACUGCGAAAGUCCCCAGUUCCGUUCUUGGUCAGCUAGACCGCGAACCCACCGGAAGGAAUAAAUUCCGGACACAAGGGGGCGCGCGGGGCAUGCGUAAAAGCCUGCUCCGGGGCCGGGCGUGGUGGCUCACGCCUGUAAUCCCAGCACUUUGGGAGGCCGAGAUGGGCGGAUCACCUGAGGUCAGGAGUUUGAGACCAGCCUGACCAACAUGGGGAAACCCCAUCUCUACUAAAAUACAAAAAAUUAGCUGGGCGUGGUGGCGUGUGCCUGUAGUCCCAGCUACUUGGGAGGCUGAGGCAGGAAAAUCGCUGGAACCCAGGAGGCUGAGGUUGCAGUGAGCCGACUUUGCGCCACUGCACUCCAGCCUGGCGAUGGAGCAAUACUCCGUCUUUAAAAAAAAAAAAAAAAGCCUGCACCGGGACCCAGUCUCUCUCCAGACAAUCCGUAGCCCUUAACUGUGCUGCUGGGAACCAGAGGCCCCAAAAUUCAAAAUCAGGUGCCUCUGAUUAAGCUAGAGGGAGUGAGGAGGAGCGGAUGUGGCCAGAUUCUCUGAAUGUGGACAUGCAGGCACCCACUCCAACACCCAGGGAGUGGCUGUCUUAAGUGCUUUCUGAAAGGUUGUCAUCCAGACAAACCACCCACUUCAGCAGUUAUUGAAAUUGCCCCUUUCACUCUCUCUUUGCUGAAUUUUUGCUGAUCUCUUCUCCAUAUGACCUACUGUGGGUCACAGACGCUUCUCAGGGACACAUUGCGGUUUUUC
rnacentral:lncRNA from 10 species